GGUGUAGCAUUUUGCUUAUACUGUGAGAAUGGCUGUGUUGUAUUUGGCUAAUUCCCCCUGAAUUUGGGGAAAGAGAUUUGAAUGAAGGAAACUUCGGUGAGAGGCCUGAAGGUUUACUGCCCUCAUCUCUCCUAGCUUUUGCUUCACAAAAUUAGUGGUCUCCAAAAUACUCCUUAGCAAAAUACUAAUUCCUUCUUCUUCUUCUUGAUAUGUUUGUUAGUUCAGUUACACAUUGUACAGGAGGCAGUGAUUCAAGACCAUCCCCAAGAAAAAGAAAUGCAAAAAGACAAAAUGGUUGUCUGAGGAGGCCUUACAAAUAGCUGUGAAAAGAAGAGAAGCGAGAGGCAAAGGAGAAAAGGAAAGAUAUAAGCAUCUGAAUGAAGAGUUCCAAAGAAUAGCAAGGAGAGAUAAGAAAGCCUUCCUCAGUGAUCAAUGCAAAGAAAUAGAGGAAAACAAUAGAGUGGGAAAGACUAGAGGUCUCUUCAAGAAAAUUAGAGAUACCAAGGGAAAUUUCAUGCAAAGAUGGGCACAAUAAAGGACAGAAAUGGCAUGGACCUAACAGAAGCAGAAGAUAUUAAGAAGAGAUGAUUAGAAUACA
ensembl:lncRNA